rnacentral:lncRNA from 1 species
AUGAAGUUCAAUCCCUUUGUGACUUCUGACCAAAGCAAGAACUGCAAAAGGCAUUUCAGUGAACCUUCCCACAUUUGCAGGAAGACAAUGUCUUCCUCUCUUUCCACAGAGCUGAGAUAGAAGUACAACGUUUGAUCCAUGCCCAUCUGAAAGGAUGAUGAAGUUCAGGUUGUAUGAGGACACCAUAAAGGUCAGCAAACUGGCAAAGUACUCCAGGUUUACAGGAAGAAAUAUGUCAUCUACAUUGAAUGGGUGCAGUGGGAAAAGGCUAAUGGCACAACUAUCCAUGUAAGCAUUCACCCCAGCAAAGUGGUUACCACUGGGCUAAAACGGGACAAAGACUGCAAAAAUGUCCUUGAAUGGAAAGGAAAAUCUCACCAAGUAGGAAAGGAAAAGGGCAAAUACAAGGAAGAAACAAUAGAGAAGAUGCAGGAAUGA